GGGUGUUCCAUGGGACAAUUCAGAGAACCUGAUAUUUGUUCCUGACCUUGAGAGGUGUGGAGGAUUGGUGUUUGGUUCAUGCAUGACACAGCUAAGUCACCUGAUAGGUUUGGCCAUGUGGGCUUGGCCCAGUCCCCCAGUUUGGCAGGCCAAGGGAUGCAUGAGUGUUUCCACCAGACACAUAAAGGCUCCGUGCCCAUGAUUCACUCUCAGAAAUCAGGGAAGACCAAUGUGCAUUUGCUCUCCAGGGGUGUCAUGCAAGACCUUACCAGCUGCUGCUUAUGAAAGAGUUUAAAGUGCUAUAGAUAUUUGUUUAAAGUAAAAGUAAAAACAUCAUGAGCCAGCCCUGAUGGCCUAGCGGUUAAAGUUCCGCACGCUCACUGCUUUGGAGGCCUGGGGUCAUUUCCCGAUUGCAGAACCACACCGCCUAUCUGUCAGUUGCCAUGCUGUGGCGGCAGCUCACAUAGAAGAACUAGAAGGACUUACAACUAGAAGGUCCAAGAUGGAGCUGGCCGUGCCUGGGGUGUCACGUCAGCAAAUGGAAACUCAGAUCGCCUUCCUGCCCUUGUAAAUGCUCUGUUUGACCAGAAAGCAGUACAUCCAUUCAGCCAAUCUCCAACCACCACACCAAUUCCAGGCAUUCUCACCCCAAGAUUGACUAUAUGGCUCCAGUCAAUCAGAUAUUUUCUAUUUUGCUCUUGCUUGUUCUUUAUUCUUUAUCCUAUAAAAGCUUCCUGCCAUCCACCCCAUUUUGCAGCUCUCUGAAAGGAGACUGUCUACUUCAUGACGUGCUAAAUAAAGUUUGCUUG
rnacentral:lncRNA from 1 species